CAAUCUGCCUUGGAGUGGGGAAUAACGGUUGGAAACAGCCGCUAAUACCGCAUGAUGCGUCUGGGAGGCAUCUCUCUGGACGCCAAAGAUUUAUCGCUCUGAGAUGAGCUCGCGUCUGAUUAGCUUGUUGGCGGGGUAAAGGCCCACCAAGGCGACGAUCAGUAGCCGGACUGAGAGGUUGGCCGGCCACAUUGGGACUGAGACACGGCCCAGACUCCUACGGGAGGCAGCAG
rnacentral:rRNA from 1 species